rnacentral:rRNA from 1 species
ACAGGUGCUGCAUGGCUGUCGUCAGCUCGUGUCGUGAGAUGUUGGGUUAAGUCCCGCAACGAGCGCAACCCUUGUCCUUAGUUACCAGCGGUUUGGCCGGGAACUCUAAGGAUACUGCCAGUGACAAACUGGAGGAAGGCGGGGACGACCUCAAGUCAUCAUGGCCCUUACCACCAGGGCUACACACGUGCUACAAUGGUAGGUACAGAGGGCAGCUACACAGCCAUGUGAUGCGAAUCUCAAAAAGCCUAUCGUAGUCCAGAUUGGAGUCUGCAACUCGACUCCAUGAAGUAGGAAUCGCUAGUAAUCGCGGAUCAGAAUGCCGCGGUGAAUACGUUCCCGGGCCUUGUACACACCG